CCUGCCAGUAGUCAUAUGCUUGUCUUAAAGAUUAAGCCAUGCAUGCCUAAGUAUAAACAUUUAUACUGUGAAGCUGCGGAAGGCUCAUUAAAACAGUAUUAAUCUACUUGAUGAUAUUUCCACUUGUGGACUUGGAUAACUGUAGUAAUUCUAGAGCUAAUACAUGCAAAAUACCCCGACUGGUAACGGAAGGGGCGUAUUUAACAAUUAUACCAAAGUCAUCAGGUAGGGAAACCUACCUUAAACAAGAGGAAUCAUGUUAACUGCACGAAUCGCAUGGCCUUGUGCCGGCGAUGCAUCAAGAGAGAUUCUGCUCUAUCAACUCUAUUGUAGUGUAUUGGACUACAAUGGUUUUGACGGGUACGGAGAAUUAGGGUUCGGUUCCGGAGAAGGAGCCUGAGAAACGGCUACUACUUCCAAGGAAGGCAGCAGGCGCGCAAAUUACCCAUUGGCGAAACGCCGAGGUAGUGACGAGAAAUAACAAUGUGGAGGCUGACAAAGCUUUCACAAUUGGAAUGAGAACAAUGUAAAUACCUUAACGAGUAACAAUUAGAGGGAAAGUCUGGUGCCAGCAGCCGCGGUAAUUCCAGCUCUAAUAGCGUAUACUAAAGUUGUUGCAGUUAAAAAGCUCGUAGUCGAAAUUCAGCCCAGGAGGGUCGUUCUGUUGGGAACAACAUGUUAUCGAUCUUCCUGGUGCUUCUAGCGGUUUGGUGGCUUCUGCUCUUAACUGAGUGGAGGUUUUUCGCCACCGCUCGUUUACUUUGAGAAAAUUAGAGUGUUCAAAGCAGGUUUCAUUUUAUGCCUUGCAUAGAUUAGCAUGGGAUAAUAAAAUAGGGCAUACCUAUCUAUUUUGUUGGCUUUGAGUGGGUGUGCAAUGAUUAAUAGGGACAAUGCGGGGUGGUUGGUAUUUUUACGAUAGAGGUGAAAUUCUUGGACCGUAGAAAGACUAACUUCUGCGAAAGCAUUCCACAAGUAUGUCUCCAUUGAUCAAGAACGAAAGUUAGGGGAUCGAAGACGAUCAGAUACCGUCGUAGUCCUGACUAUAAACUAUGCCGACCAGGGAUUGGGAGGUGUUUUAUCAUAUGACCCUACCAGAACCUUACGGGAAACCACAAGUUUUUGGGCUCCGGGGGGAGUAUGGUCGCAAGGCUGAAACUUAAAGGAAUUGACGGAAGGGCACACCAGAAGUGGAACCUGCGGUUUAAUUUGACUCAACACGGGAAAACUCACAAGGCCCGGACAUA
rnacentral:rRNA from 1 species